rnacentral:rRNA from 1 species
GUAGGUGGCGAACGUUGUCCGGAUUCACUGGGCGUAAAGCGCGCGCAGGCGGACUGGUCAGUCCAGGGUGAAAUCUCCCGGCUCAACUGGGAGGAGUCCCCGGAUACUGCCAGUCUUGAGGUGCCUAGAGGAGAGUGGAAUUCAGGGUGUAGUGGUGGAAUGCGUAGAUAUCCUGAGGAACACCAGUGGCGAAAGCGACUCUCUGGGGGCGACCUGACGCUGAGGCGCGAAAGCGUGGGGGGAGCGAACCGGAUUAGAUACCCGGGUAGUCCACGCCGUAAACGAUGAGUACUAGCUGUAUGGGGUAUCGACUCCCUGUGUAGCGAAGCUAACGCGAUAAGUACUCCGCCUGGGACUACGGCCGCAAGGCUA